GACAGAGGGGGCAAGCGUUGCUCGGAAUUACUGGGCGUAAAGGGCGCGUAGGCGGGAUGGCAAGUCGGUCGUGAAAUCCCUCGGCUCAACUGAGGAUCGUCGAUCGAUACUGCCGUUCUUGAGGAUUGCAGAGGAGACUGGAAUUCCCGGUGUAGCGGUGAAAUGUGUAGAGAUCGGGAGGAACGCCGGUGGCGAAGGCGGGUCUCUGGGCAAUUCCUGACGCUGAGGCGCGAAAGCGUGGGGAGCAAACAGG
rnacentral:rRNA from 1 species